GGGCCCGCACAAGCGGUGGAUUAUGUGGUUUAAUUCGAUGAUACGCGAGGAACCUUACCAAGGCUUAAAUGGGAAAUGACAGGUUUAGAAAUAGACUUUUCUUCGGACAUUUUUCAAGGUGCUGCAUGGUUGUCGUCAGCUCGUGCCGUGAGGUGUUAGGUUAAGUCCUGCAACGAGCGCAACCCCUGUCACUAGUUGCCAUCAUUAAGUUGGGGACUCUAGUGAGACUGCCUACGCAAGUAGAGAGGAAGGUGGGGAUGACGUCAAAUCAUCACGGCCCUUACGCCUUGGGCCACACACGUAAUACAAUGGCCGGUACAGAGGGCAGCUACACUGCGAAGUGAUGCAAAUCUCGAAAGCCGGUCUCAGUUCGGAUUGGAGUCUGCAACUCGACUCUAUGAAGCUGGAAUCGCUAGUAAUCGCGCAUCAGCCAUGGCGCGGUGAAUACGUUCCCGGGCCUU
rnacentral:rRNA from 1 species